rnacentral:lncRNA from 1 species
CGGUCACAGUGUGCCCGUUAUUCCCAUUAUUAUUCCCGUUAUUAUUCCUGUUAUUAUUCCCAUUAUUCCCGUUAUUAUUCCUGUUAUUAUUCCCAUUAUUCCCGUUAUUAUUCCCGUUAUUCCCAUUAUUAUUCCCGUUAUUAUUCCCGUUAUUCCCGGUGUUUUUCCAGCUCCGCGGCUGCGGCUCCAUCCCGGAGGUGCCCGUUAUUAUUCCCGUUAUUAUUCCCGUUAUUAUUCCUGUUAUUCCCGGUAUUAUUCCCGUUAUUCCCGGUAUUAUUCCCGUUAUUCCCGUUAUUAUUCCCGUUAUUCCCGUUAUUUAUUCCCGUUUUUCCAGCUCCGUGGCUGCGGCUCCAUCCCGGAGGUGACGGUUAUUAUUCCCGUUAUUAUUCCCGUUAUUCCCGGUGUUUAUUCCCGUUAUUAUUCCCGGUUUUCCAGCUCCGUGGCUGCGGCUCCAUCCCGGAGGUGACGGUUAUUAUUCCCGUUAUUAUUCCCAUUAUUAUUCCCGUUAUUCCCGUUAUUUAUUCCCGGUGUUUUCCAGCUCCGUGGCUGCGGCUCCAUCCCCGAGGUGACGGUCACCGUGUGCCCGUUAUUCCCAUUAUUAUUCCCGUUAUUCCCGGUGUUAUUCCCGGUGUUUUUCCCGUUAUUCCCGUUAUUAUUCCUGUUAUUCCCGUUAUUUAUAUCCGUUUUUCCAGCUCCGUGGCUGCGGCUCCAUCCCGUUAUUCCCGUUAUUCCCGGUGUUUUUCCCGGUGUUUUUCCAGCUGCGUGGCUGCGGUUCCAUCCCGUUAUUCCCGGUGUCAUUCCCGUUAUUCCCGUUAUUAUUCCCGUUUUUUUUCCAGCUCCGUGGCUGCGGCUCCAUCCCGUUAUUCCCGUUAUUCCCGUUAUUUAUUCCCGGUGUUUUUCCAGCUCCGUGGCUGCGGCUCCAUCCCGGAGGUGCCGGUUAUUAUUCCCGUUAUUAUUCCCGUUAUUAUUCCUGUUAUUCCCGUUGUUUAUUCCCGUUUUUCCAGCUCCGUGGCUGCGGCUCCAUCCCGUUAUUAUUCCCGUUUUUCCCGUUAUUCCCGUUUUUCCAGCUCCGUGGCUGCGGCUCCAUCCCGUUAUUAUUCCCGUUUUUCCCGUUAUUAUUCCCAGUGUUUUUCCAGCUCCGUGGCUGCGGCUCCAUCCCGUUAUUAUUCCCAUUAUUCCCGUUAUUAUUCCCGUUAUUCCCGUUAUUUAUUCCCGUUUUUCCAGCUCCGUGGC